UACGUAGGGAGCAAGCGUUGUCCGGAAUCAUUGGGCGUAAAGCGCGCGUAGGUGGCCCCAUAAGUCCGCUGUGAAAGUCAAAGGCUCAACCUUUGAAAGCCGGUGGAUACUGUGGGACUAGAGUACGGAAGAGGCGAGUGGAAUUCCUGGUGUAGCGGUGGAAUGCGCAGAUAUCAGGAGGAACACCAAUAGCGAAGGCAGCUCGCUGGGACGUUACUGACGCUAAGGCGCGAAAGCGUGGGGAGCGAACAGG
rnacentral:rRNA from 1 species